GACGAACGCUGGCGGCGUGCUUAACACAUGCAAGUCGUACGGUAAGGCCCUUUCGGGGGUACACGAGUGGCGAACGGGUGAGUAACACGUGAGUAACCUGCCCACAACUUUGGGAUAACGCUAGGAAACUGGUGCUAAUACUGGAUAUGUGCUCCUGCUGCAUGGUGGGGGUUGGAAAGCUCCGGCGGUUGUGGAUGGACUCGCGGCCUAUCAGCUUGUUGGUGGGGUAGUUGCCUACCAAGGCGGCGACGGGUAGCCGGCCUGAGAGGGUGACCGGCCACAUUGGGACUGAGAUACGGCCCAGACUCCUACGGGAGGCAGCAGUGGGGAAUAUUGCACAAUGGGCGCAAGCCUGAUGCAGCAACGCCGCGUGCGGGAUGACGGCCUUCGGGUUGUAAACCGCUUUCAGCAGGGACGAAGCUUUUUGUGACGGUACCUGCAGAAGAAGCACCGGCUAACUACGUG
rnacentral:rRNA from 1 species